rnacentral:rRNA from 1 species
GACGAACGCUGGCGGCGUGCUUAACACAUGCAAGUCGAACGGAAAGGCCCUUCGGGGUACUCGAGUGGCGAACGGGUGAGUAACACGUGGGUGAUCUGCCCUGCACUUCGGGAUAAGCCU